rnacentral:rRNA from 1 species
AUGAACGCUGGCGGCGUGCCUAAUACCUGCAAGUCGCGCGAACGGACGAGAAGCUUGCUUCUCUGAUGUUAGCGGCGGACGGGUGAGUAACACGUGGAUAACCUACCUAUAAGACUGGGAUAACUUCGGGAAACCGGAGCUAAUACCGGAUGAUAUUUUGAACCGCAUGGUUCAAAAGUGAAAGACGGUCUUGCUGUCACUUAUAGAUGGAUCCGCGCUGCAUUAGCUAGUUGGUAAGGUAACGGCUUACCAAGGCAACGAUGCAUAGCCGACCUGAGAGGGUGAUCGGCCACACUGGAACUGAGACACGGUCCAGACUCCUACGGGAGGCAGCAGUAGGGAAUCUUCCGCAAUGGGCGAAAGCCUGACGGAGCAACGCCGCGUGAGUGAUGAAGGUCUUCGGAUCGUAAAACUCUGUUAUUAGGGAAGGACAUAUGUGUAAGUAACUGUGCACAUCUUGACGGUACCUAAUCAGAAAGCCACGGCUAACUACGUG